GGAUUCAUUGAUUUUUGAUAGUCUGCUAAGCCAAGCUAAAGCCAAACCGUAUUGCAAUUUUCACCGAAUCCCUCUUCUGUUGGACUGUGACCCUGGCCAAAAGCUUAUCCCCAUUCCUUAGCAACAAGUAAUCUGAUUUCUCAUUCACAAACUCACAAACCGCCACUUCUAUCCAGAAAUUUAUAUCAUUAAACAUGAACGGCGAUGAUGCUUACGGUGUAUUUGAGGCACAGUACAUAUGGAGACACCACAGACACCAGCCUGGAGAAAACCAGUGCACUUCUGUUCUCGUCAAGCACAUCAAAGCUCCUGUUCAUCUCGUUUGGUCGCUGGUGAGGCGAUUCGAUCAGCCACAGAAGUACAAGCCAUUUGUGAGUAGGUGCGUUGUGAAUGGGGAGAGUGGAGAGCCUGGGAUAGGAAGUGUUAGGGAAGUGAAUGUUAAAUCUGGACUUCCUGCAACCACUAGCACCGAGAUGCUGGAACUCCUUGACGAUGAGGAGCACAUUCUCGGAAUCAAGAUUGUUGGUGGUGAUCAUAGGCUGAAGGUAUACAUUCUAUCCACUUCUAUAUUUAUCAUUAAUCAUUAUCAUUAUUAAGUUUUGUAUCGUCGAGAUGCUGUUUAGGUCCUGUUAUUUAAAUUUUGUUUGAGAAUUAGAGAAGGUGGUCGAGUCUGCGUACAAGUUUUCUGUAGUUAUUUAAUGGAUUGAUCAAUUAGAUUACUUGAUCAUUCAUUUUUUGCUUCUUUGAAAGUUUUGCAGUCUUUUCUGAAUUUGGUGAGAGUUUACUAUUUCCAUUAUCAUGGCAUUUUGCCUUCUGGAGGUAUGAACUUGAAUUUGGGUUUUGGGUAGUGUAUAAUGGGUCAUCUCAUAGACAGCUCCAUGUCACCAAGUGAUCACUGUUCUAGCUUCCCAGCUCUCUAUUUUAAUGUGUAAAGCAAUUGAGGGAGUCUCGAAAACUACAUGUAGGAUGAGAUGGAAUUUGGUGAUUUCUGAUCUUGCAUGUGAUUGCCAGUUUUGUUGUUAUAGGAGUCGUCUUGUACUGGUUUGGGCAAUAUUCCAAUGGUUGUCUUAUUUUUAGGUUAUUUUAUUGUAGGGGCCUUGAUAUUACUAGUCAUGUAGUGCAGUUUUGCAUUUGGGAGCUACAAUUUGGUGCCAUCUCUUUAUCUUUAUGCUAUAGUGUGUAACUUGUGAAAUUGCCUUACCCCCUUUAUUUUAAAGAGUGAAUGGAAUAUUAUAUAGUGGAAUAUUAAGAUACAUGCAUGCUUUUGGAGAUUGUGGUUUUUUCUAUGAAACGUAUAUUGUUCAAGCAGGCAAUCCUCUUUUCCUUGAUGAUUUGGGACAAGAACUUGACAUCCAUAUCAUUUGUUGCGUUCGCAUGCAUGCAUUCUAGCACGUGCAUGUCCAUUGGUUGACAGGGCAUUUGGAAUCUGCCACUGAAGCUUCUGAUUUUGAGAUUUUGCGAUUUCUUGUAUGAAAAAUAUCUGAAACUUUUAUGCCGCAAUGCUUUUUGCUGAUAUUGUUCCAAUCUCUCUCAUUCUAUUUUCCCCAUUUCUUGAUUUUGCAGAACUAUUCGUCAAUUAUGACUGUCCAUCCAGAGGUUAUUGAUGGAAGACAUGGGACAUUAGUUAUAGAAUCAUUUGUGGUGGAUGUGCCUGAUGGGAACACCAAGGAUGAGACAUGUUACUUUGUGAAGGCUCUCAUCCAGUGCAAUCUCAAAUCUUUGGCUGAUGUCUCAGAGAGGAUGGCGUUGCAGGGCUGGGUUGAACCCAUCAAUCGAUUCUGAAUAGGUGGUUUCUGAAUAUGUAAAGUCAUUAGGAUGGCUGUGCCAUUUGAGGGUUCUGAUUCCAGAGGCUUUGUAGAGAUUGGUGGGAGUACUCCUUCCAUAUUUCCAGAAGUUUUGCAUGCAAUUCACCUCAUGGAGACCCUUUCUGCCUGCUUUUGCUUUUCCCUGCAUUAGUAAUUAGGUUUUUUAGACAAGUUUCCUGAGAACUUCCUAUGAAUGGAAAACGAUCGGCUUUUUUCCACUGUUGCUUUUACUAGUUUUUGCAUGAUGCUAUGUAAAUUACCAUGGCCGUUUCUGUAAAUAUCCGUGUAACGCAGAUGGUGCCUUUUGGACUGUAGGUUUUUAUCUCUUUGCAGCUUCCGGGUGCAGGGAUUACUGGUGACGGACAUGAAGUAGCAGUGCUUUGUUGAUUUUGAUUUUGUAAUGUCCUUUUUAGCGCACUAUUGCAAAAAAUUAUUAACCUUUCUGAGUCGGGUUAUGUGUAUGCUUCGAAUCAUGCAUGAGCUUAUACUGCAGCAUUUUAGUGCAGAAAUUGCUGUGAAUCUUACUGUUUUCAUUUGGACCCUCUAGGUUAGUUUGUGUCCUCUCUCACAUGGCUGUAAAUUUCAGGUCUGUUUGCUUUCUAAAAUGUGGAAGCGCAACGAGGAAGGUACGGGUAGUGAGAAGGCUGAUUACGUGGAUUAAAUUAAGCGUCUAAAAGUUAUUAGGUUUGUGAUUCCAAGGAGGCUUCCAUAACAUUUUGAAAGAGGCAGAAGAUUGACCGGUGAUAGGUUUAACUAUGAAGUUGAAUGCGUUAAUUAAAUCGAUAAUGAUGAAUCUGAAAUUAAAAUAGAGGGUGAAAAGGUUAAGAUUAAUUAGUUGUUCAUAUUGAUAAGUGGGCAAAUAAUUAUUCAAUUUUGUAGUAAAAGUUUAUUGAAUUAAAUAAAUUUCACUUGCC
rnacentral:misc_RNA from 1 species